rnacentral:lncRNA from 1 species
CCUGGAGCCAGAUAUUCGGCUUAAAUGUAUUGGGUUAUCUCAUCAUACUCCCAAAGCACAAGUCCUUCCCAAAACAGAGUAUCUGGUGAUGAUGAGAGGACACCUCAGGACUCAAAAGUAAGUGCCAGGACUUUAUUUUAGGGUGCAUCGAUAGAACAGCCCUAAACCAUGAGUCCCUUUCAAAGCAGGGGUGUGUUCUCUCUGUCUAACCUGUAAAGGCAAGCUGCACGUGGGCAGCCUGGCAGGUACUUGCUUGCUGUCAGCUGAGCUCCAGUUAGUGCUUAUUGUAGACAGAUACCCAGACAUGUGCUGUUAUGGACCUGUUUUAGGAGGUACAGCUCGGGUCACAGCACACCCCCUCACAUACACACUUGAUUUUUAUGAAGCCAAAGGUGUAUCUAAUGUGUACUUGGCCCCAAGAAGGCUGUUUCUCAGUGCUUGCUCUUGUUAGAACACCACUACCCUACAAACUAGCCAAAGGCAGGCCCUGGGCUUGGUGGUCAUGCACUGGGAUCAUUGAGCUGGUUGCAAAAGAUCCUCCCAGGUGUCCCCCACCACACUUGGCUCCCGGGGGCUUUGCUUUGCUGUAGUUUCAGGCUGCGCCCACCCAGGCGGGGUGUCCUGAGCCAUCCCCAGUGCCUGCAGCCCCUCACCUGCCCCUUCCACGCCGAGCUCGCUGAUGUCCUUGGUCAGCUUGCGCAUGCUGAUGGUGUUUGCAUCCCUCUGGAUGUCAUGGACAGCAUUCCUCCGGCCAGCCCUGUCGCAGGAAAUGAAGUCUGUGUAUGUGCUGGACUCUACCUCCAUCGCAUCUCUAUACUCCUUCAAAAUCCUGCAGAGAAAACAGCUCUGAGCUCAAGGGUGCUCGGCCAGCCUUGAGCCAUGGCUCUGUCUGGGUUAGGUUACUGCACGGAGUUAAAUUACAACAUGAAAAAAUAGUCCCUGUAGCUCCGCUCCCCGUCAGAGCAGCUUCUGAACUCUCAGGUAACGAGCUGCUGCUGGCUCUGCUGUCAUCGGCUUUGUCACCAUGUGCCUGCUGCUCUGGGGAGGGAGGGCUGCCUCGGAUUCAAAGCUCUGCAUUUUAGCUCGAUGUCAGCCUGGCCUAAGCCCUCCUUCCUCUUCAAAUUGCCCUGGGAGCUUUGAAUGGAGGCUGAAUUUGGCUCUGCAGUGGGAAGGAGUGAACUGACCUGAAUUUGUAAUCAGGAAUAGGGCUCUAGCAGGCACUCACCCAAACGGUCCAGGAGCUCAUGAGCUUUGCAGACACUGAGGUUUGCAUCAGUGCUGCUGUGUUUGUCACAUCCAUGUGUCAAGUGAGACAGCUUUGAGAGAAGCAGCACUUUACCCUGUGAAAAUCAACCUUACUGCAAGGGUUUUGGAUCCCUUUGCUCCUGCCUGUGCAAACUGCAGAGUGCAAAGAAAGGCUCACAAUGAGCACGAGCCGCCAGCCAGCUCCUGGUACAGCCCGGCGGGUGUUCAGGGCUUCAUUUAGCUGAGGGUUUGGCUCGGCAGCUUUGGGAACACACUGCAAGCAUCCCAGUGCCUGGGUACCAGCGGGUCACAUGCUGCUUCCCUGCUGGGAAUCCGGUGCUCCUGCUUCCUUCUGCUCCCAGCCUGGCACCCGGCUUGCUUCUUUGUGUGGACGUUGGAAAUCAGUGGCCGACUUGUUUUGCCCACUGCCCUGCUGGCGUCGUCAAUACUUGGAGGAGGAGCUGAUCAGAAACACUGCUGGCUAAUGAAAAAAGCGUAACACCUUGCAUCCGCUUGCUUUUGUGUCACGGGGCUGAUAUCCCACUGAGACAUCUGUUCAGCUCCUGCACAAACCCUGCUCAAUAUUGAUCUCCCUACCGGGGAAGCCGACUGAACGCACGCUGCGCCCGCAGGGAAACGCACGUGAGGUGAAGGCAGACCCCGGCGGCGGCCGGGCAGGACCCAUGCAGGGGGUGCUGUGGCUGCGAGGCUGCGCUCAGCUCCUCGGCAAACCCCCAGCCCCGGAAGCCUCCCAGCCUCGAGAUUGAGGCCCGUCGGACGCACGGACCGAGCGCUGCCGCAGAAACCGCCGGGAGGUGGCGCCGGAGCUCCGCGGCAGUGCCCGGUGCUGUCGGGGCGGCCCCGCCGGCUCCCGGUGCGCGGCUCUCCGGGCGCUGCCUCUCGGUUUCCUCCGCUCUGCUGCUGCCCGGAGGGGUGAUGGAACCGCCGCCACCAUUUGCAGGGGGCAGCCUGAUUUUUCAAGGAGCGUUUUCACUGUUCCAGGAAGAUGCAAAGCAUAUCGGUAGGGUUUAGCUGGGGGAACUGUUAGCAUCUGCCACUGACAAGAGGGGAUCCCUACCUGUGCAGUUCCAUUUGGAGCAGUGUCACAGUGGAUGGUCAUUGAGUGGCAGCUCCCCCCACCAGAGCCCACAGUUUCAAGCUCACAUACCUUGCUGAGAUAAGCUCUUUCUGCCAAACCUGCUGUUUGGCCUCAGCUUAUUUUUCCAUAUCUUGAGAGGACAGGAAUGAAACAGGACAUAUGGGGCUGCAGCAGUGUGAGUUCCGCAGGCACAGAUGCAGCACGAGGAUAAGGUUCUGCUGCCAGCCCUGGGCUGCACUCAGAGUCCACCCCCAGGAUACCUUCUGGUGAAAGGAGGACGCUUUUGGGGUGAACUCAAUGCCUCUUUCAAGUGGACAAUGGUCUGGAAUUACCACUGGAGGGUUAAACUCAACACAGGAUGGUGCACCCAUGGAGGAAAUGUGGCCCACGUCUGAGUCAGAGGGCUCAGUUGGACUCUGCAUGCACACCCAGCCCUGGACUUCAGUUUCAAGGAAGCCUUUCACAUGAUGUUGUAUCUGCCCCUUGCCUAGGUUCAAUUAGAAGCAUUUCCCUCUUACCUCACAUUCUCCUCAGAAUUUUGCUCUGUCUCUAACCUGGUUUUGCACAAACUGCAGAAGACUUUUGUGUCAGAGGAAAUCCUGUUCAGCUCUCUGUGGCACAGGUGGCACGACACGGUAAAGGGUGCCUUCAAGUCCUGCUUGGACAUCCUCACCCCCUACGGCAGCCAGCACCGCACAGCAGAGGCUGUAAGGGAGGAGGUGGGAAGGUUCAACACAGCAGUGGCUUCUUGGCAUCGCUUGGCCCCAAGAACCACCUGAGCCCACCUUGUUUCCCUUUACAGAGUGAGAAAUGGGGCCAUAUCUUUCUUUCUAAACACCCAGGUGCUGGGCAGCACUGAGCAGCCUGUGCCUACCACUGAUUCUGGGACCACACAAAGAUGUCCCCAUUCCUGUGGCACCCAAGGAUCAUCCCAAUGACCAUAGCCAGCAAGGGCUGGCACUGGGAUGUUAAGCCCAAGUCCUGAGGGACUGGAGCCCUGCACUUACAUCCCUGUUGCUGCUGCUGCUGCUGCUGCUGCCCGUUACAAGUGGCCGUUGGGGCCAACAGCUCUGUGCCCAUGGCGGGGUUCUGGCUGGAACAGGCUCCCUGACCCACAAGGCCAACUCCCGCUCUCUUGGUGUCCAAACCAAGGAUCAAACUGCUGCCUUUUGCCCCUGGGAAGCACAAAGCCUCCAAAGCCGAUCUAAACCUGGCUGUGUUUCUGGGUUGAAAUUUCCACCUUGUGUCAAAGGGACAAAUAUUAGCAGACCAAAAAGCAAGAGAUUAACCAUUUAAGAAUGCGAGCAGGAGCUCAUUCAGCAGUUCUGCCUACUCUGAGCUGUGGAUCUCUGUGACUGCGACAAUUCAUCACUUUCCAAACCAGGCUGAGCCCUGCAGUGAUGUCUGUGCCUCUCUGUCACUGCCAUUGGGAGGAGCUGGGGACAAAGUGCACGCAGCAGCUGACCCUCCCCAUCGCGCCGGCUGGCACUGGAAUGGGUACUGUGCUGGAAGACUUGUUGUCUGGGUUGGUCUAUAUGUAUGGCUUUGGUGACUUGAAUACCUUUAGCAGUGCGGAGCAACAACCACGUUCAGGCUUUGAAUGUGACAAUGGAGAUCACAUGAGAGUGGCAGAGAAAGGCAAAUAAAAAGCUGUGGCGUAGCUUCUGCUGUUUCUUGUUGCCUUGCAGACUGAUCCCCUGGUUCUGCUAUAGGCCUGCAUGAGCCCAGGAGAGCCAUUUGAUUUGUGCCUGGCCCCUGUAAGAUAACACUUAGCGUUUGGUUGGAGGGAUUGGUGCUGUGAUAACUGUUCCUGAAAGACGGGAGUCCCAGAAAAUGGUAACAGCCUGGAAAAUGAUUUUCACAGCUGUCUUUUGGAGGGCAGGGUUGUGUGUGUGUGUGCAUGCCUGCCUUCAAGGAGGCUCAAAAGUAGAUUUGCUUUUCUUUGGUAGAAGAGAGUAAGGCAAAGGGGAAGCAAAACAAUGCUUGCUACCUCAUUUUAGCCUUUACACCUCGUCAGAAUCAGCCACUGUGUAUACAGAAAUAACGAGCUGUUGGAAGAUGCAGGUCUAUGACUGUCUUUGGGUUUUAGUGUUUCUGCUAUGCUGCUGCCAGCCUAUGUGCUUUACUGUAAUGAGCUCCCAUUCUUUGAGGGAUCGGAGUUUUCACCCUCUGGAGUGAGAACCCAUGCACUGGAGGACUUGGAGCCCCGGGCCUCGUCCUGUGCUCAAAGUACAUGCAGCUUUACUGGCAGAGCCACGUUUGUAAGUGGCCGUUUAGUCUGCAUCUGUGCUAUGAAUGAAUUCAGGCGCUGGGGAUCCCCGGUGCACCCUCCUUCCCCAAACACUGUUCCUCAUUACAGCAGACAUACAACUUCUCAGACAGCUGGAAGGGCCCACCUUGCUCACAGGGGCCCACCCAGGAGCCUGAACAACCAAAGCACGCUCAGAGCCACCCGAAGGGCCUUGCUGACCAUGGGCAAGCACAGCCCGGAGCCUGAGGCCACGCACUCCCUUGGAGCUGUCACUGCUGCUUCUGUGUCUCUGCCAGAGCCCCACCUGGCACUGACACAUCCCCUCCUUGCUUGUCCCCCCCCUCCCAGCCACCACGGGCAUUCCCCCAAGGCACGCAGCCGUGCGUGGCUCUGUGGCUCUCGUUCUGUGUGUGCGUUUGCCCCCUCUGACACAACGGGAACAUUUCCCAGCCGUCCCUCCAGGAGCGCGGCGUUGCGCUGCCUCCCUCCCCGCUGCCUGCGGGAAACCGGAGAGAGGAGAACGACGCGCAGCUCCGAGCCGGAGGAAUUUUCAAAGCCUCCUGAGAAUACCACCGCACGGCAGUUCAUUUUUUAUCCCACGUCUCUGCCUCUUAAAACACUUGCUAGGGAAGCUGGAUGCCAUCGAGUCCCCAAGUCUGCGUACGCCACGUUUGUGAGGCUCUCGGCCGUGCCAGGGCUCGGGGCAGCCCCG